GGCAGGAGAAUUGCUUGAAUCUGGGAGGCGCAGGUUGCAGUGAGCCAAGAUUGCCAUUGCACUCCAGCCUGGGCAACAGGAGCGAAACUCCGUCUCAAAUAAUUAAAAAAAAAAUAACCACCCUUGGCUGGGUGCAGUGGCUCACGCCUAUAAUCCCAGCACUUUGGGAGGCCAAGGCAGGUGGAUCACUUGAGGCCAGGAGUUUGAGUCCAGCCUGACCAACAUGGUGAAACCCCAUCUCUACUAAAAAUACAUAAUUUUUGUCGGGUGUGGUGGCAGGCGCCUGUAAUUCCAGCUACUCAGGAGGCUGAGGCCGAGAAUUGCUUGAACCUGGGUGAUGGAGGUUGCAGUGAGCUGAGAGCACGCCAUUUCAUUCCAGCCUGGGGGACAGAGCAAAACUCUGUCUCAAAAAAGAAAAAACACAAACAAAAACACCCUUGGUCAUAGCGUGAUAAAAAUUUGAAAACCAAAGGCAAAAAUAAAAUCUUAGAAAAGCAGAUUCAAACUAGAAAAAAAAUGUUAAGAGCACAUUAAAGUCAGAGAAAAAAGUCACAUGAUUUUUAAAGGGACAAGACUGACACCUGACUUUCUUAGAAGAAACUAUGGAAUCCAGAAGACAGCGGAAAUGUGCCUUCAAAACGCAUGAGAAAAAUAACUAAUCUCCAGCUGCACCCUGGGGAAGACAUGCUUCAGAAAUAAAGGUGAAGUGAAAACAGUUUUAGAGGCACAAAAACGAGAGAACUCCUCAUCAACAGAACCCCCUCCACGUGGAAAAGGAGUGAUCUCAGAGGGAAGCGUGUCCCGGAGGAGGGAGUAAAGGACAACGGAAACAGUUGAUGUGGCUGCGCCCAGUAUUGGAACACACUAUAAAGCACAGAAAUGAAAACAGUGUGGUGUUUGUGUGAGGCUAGACACACCAGCCCGUGGACACACCAGCCCACGGACACACCAACCCAUGGGACAGGGUGGAGACUGGACACAGACCACACGUACGUGGCGGCUGGGUUUGUGGCUGAGGUGGACUGCCCUGCCACGGGAGGUGGGUGAUUCAUUCAGAGCUUGAUACGGAUCACUCGGAUGUUUGAACUGGAAAAAAAGGACUCUUUGCAAACGUCAGCUCACCCUGUGCAGAAAGCACUUCCAGCCGGACUACAGACCCAUGGGCGAAAGAUAAGGCAGUAGCACAUCCAGAAGGCACCAUGGGAGGCUCCCCUGACGCCUUCACGGUGGACAAGUAUUUCUUACACAGACGCACAAGUGCCAACCGCAAAGGAGAAGGUCGACACACUUUGUUAAAAUUAUACCCCAGGAAGAGAGUGCAGCCCACAGCACAAGACAGGGCGUUUGCACAACACGUGUGAAAAGGACUUACAUCCUUAAUAUAUAAAGAUAUCUUACAAAUCAACAAGGAAAGGGCAGACAACUGUAUUGAAAAACAAUGAAAGGACAGCAGCUUUCCACAGGCACCUCACAGAAGAGGAUUCCGGUUGGCUCAUAAGCCUGUGAUUGUGUACUUGGCAACACGAGUUGUCAGAAAAAUGGCAAAGAAACCCAUGAUGGUAAAUCACCACACACCACACCCACACAAAUAACUAGAGCAAACAUGAGUGAAAACCUCUGCAAAAGCUGGGCGUGGGCUGCGUGCAGGCGGUUGCACUCUCAUGCCUUUACUGGUGGGGUGUGCCUCUGCAUCAUCACUUUGGAACACUGUUCGAGAAUAUCAAGUCCAGCUUUUUCUGACCUAGGAUCUUGCAGUUCUGCCCAACAGACAUGCAUAUUCAGUUGGCCCUUCGUAUCCAUGAGUUUCACAUCCAUGGAUUCCACCAAUCACAGACUGAAAAUAUUUUUAAAAGAUGGCAGCUGUUCUGAACAUGUACAGCCUCUUUUCUUGUCAUCAUUUCCAAAACAAUACGGUAGAACAACUAUGCUAUUUACUACAUAGCAUUUACAUCAUAUUAAAUAUUAUAGGCAACCUAGAGGUGAUUUAAAUAUAUGGGAGGAUGUGCGUAGGUUGUAUGAAAAUACCAAGUCAUUUUAUAUCAGGGACUUGCGCACCCACAGAUUCUGGUAUCUGUGGAAGUCCUCGGCCACUCCCCCGUGGAGACAGGACAACUGUGUGUUGACAGAAGUCACAUGGGAGAAUGCUCAUAGCAGCCCUCACACAGUGGCACAACCUGGAACACCGCCCAGUCUGACCAGCACGGAAAAGCAGCACCUGCUGAAUUCAUGCCACGGGGGACUCCACAGCAGCCAAAAGAGUGAGCUGUGGCCACCACGCCCACUGGUGAUGUCUCGGACAUAACGCUGAGUCCAA
rnacentral:lncRNA from 1 species